rnacentral:rRNA from 1 species
UACGGGGGGGGGCAAGCGUUUGUUCGGAAUUACUGGGCGUAAAGGGCUCGUAGGCGGCCAACUAAGUCGGAUGUGAAAUCCCCAGGCUCAACUUGGGAACUGCAUCCGAUACUGGAUGGCUUGAAUUCGGGAGAGGGAUGCAGAAUUCCAGGUGUAGCGGUGAAAUGCGUAGAUAUCUGGAGGAACACCGGUGGCGAAGGCGGCAUCCUGGACCGAGACUGACGCUGAGGAGCGAAAGCCAGGGGAGCAAACGGG